rnacentral:rRNA from 1 species
AGCGAACGCUGGCGGCAGGCCUAACACAUGCAAGUCGAACGAACCUUUCGGGGUUAGUGGCGGACGGGUGAGUAACACGUGGGAACGUGCCUUUAGGUUCGGAAUAACUCAGGGAAACUUGUGCUAAUACCGAAUGUGCCCUUCGGGGGAAAGAUUAAUCGCCUUUAGAGCGGCCGGCGUCUGAUUAGCUAGUUGGUUGAGGUAAUGGCUCACCAAGGCGACGAUCAGUAGCUGGUCUGAGAGGAUGAUCAGCCACAUUGGGACUGAGACACGGCCCAAAAUCCGACGGGGGGCAGCAGUGGGGAAUCUUGCGCAAUGGGCGAAAGCCUGACGCAGCCAUGCCGCGUGAAUGAUGAAGGUCUUAGGAUUGUAAAAUUCUUUCACCGGGGACGAUAAUGACGGUACCCGGAGAAGAAGCCCCGGCUAACUUCGUG